rnacentral:rRNA from 1 species
CAGUCGAGCGACGGAUAAGGAGCUUGCUCCUUUGAAGUUAGCGGCGGACGGGUGAGUAACACGUGGGUAACCUACCUAUAAGACUGGAAUAACUUCGGGAAACCGGAGCUAAUGCCGGAUAACAUUUGGAACCGCAUGGUUCUAAAGUAAAAGAUGGUUUUGCUAUCACUUAUAGAUGGACCCGCGCCGUAUUAGCUAGUUGGUAAGGUAACGGCUUACCAAGGCAACGAUACGUAGCCGACCUGAGAGGGUGAUCGGCCACACUGGAACUGAGACACGGUCCAGACUCCUACGGGAGGCAGCAGUAGGGAAUCUUCCGCAAUGGACGAAAGUCUGACGGAGCAACGCCGCGUGAGUGAUGAAGGUUUUCGGAUCGUAAAACUCUGUUAUUAGGGAAGAACAAAUGUGUAAGUAACUGUGCACAUCUUGACGGUACCUAAUCAGAAAGCCACGGCUAACUACGUGCCAGCAGCCGCGGUAAUACGUAGGUGGCAAGCGUUAUCCGGAAUUAUUGGGCGUAAAGCGCGCGUAGGCGGUUUCUUAAGUCUGAUGUGAAAGCCCACGGCUCAACCGUGGAGGGUCAUUGGAAACUGGGAAACUUGAGUACAGAAGAGGAAAGUGGAAUUCCAUGUGUAGCGGUGAAAUGCGCAGAGAUAUGGAGGAACACCAGUGGCGAACGCGACUUUCUGGUCUGUAACUGACGCUGAUGUGCGAAAGCGUGGGGAUCAAACCACGAUUACAUACCCUUGUUCAGUCCACGCCGUACACGAUGA